UAGGGAAUCUUCCACAAUGGGCGAAAGCCUGAUGGAGCAACGCCGCGUGUGUGAUGAAGGGUUUCGGCUCGUAAAACACUGUUGUAAGAGAAGAAUGACAUUGAGAGUAACUGUUCAAUGUGUGACGGUAUCUUACCAGAAAGGAACGGCUAAAUACGUGUCA
rnacentral:rRNA from 1 species